UACGGAGGGGACUAGCGUUGUUCGGAAUUACUGGGCGUAAAGCGCACGUAGGCGGAUUUGUAAGUCAGGGGUGAAAUCCCGAGGCUCAACCUCGGAACUGCCUUUGAUACUGCAAAUCUCGAGUCCGGAAGAGGUGAGUGGAAUUCCUAGUGUAGAGGUGAAAUUCGUAGAUAUUAGGAAGAACACCAGAGGCGAAGGCGGUUUCCUGGGCCAACACUGACGCUGAGGCGCGAAAAGCGUGGGGGAGCAAACAGG
rnacentral:rRNA from 1 species